CGGAGGGUGCAAGCGUUGUUCGGAUUUAUUGGGCGUAAAGCGCGUGUAGGCGGUCUUUUAAGUCUGAUGUGAAAGCCCCGGGCUCAACCCGGGAAGUGCAUUGGAAACUGGGAGACUUGAAUACGGGAGAGGGUAGUGGAAUUCCUAGUGUAGGAGUGAAAUCCGUAGAUAUUAGGAGGAACACCGGUGGCGAAGGCGGCUACCUGGACCGAUAUUGACGCUGAGACGCGAAAGCGUGGGGAGCAAACAGGAUUAGAUACCCUGGUAGUCCACGCCGUAAACGAUGAGUACUAGGUGUUGCGGGUAUUGACCCCUGCAGUGCCGCAGCUAACGCAUUAAGUACUCCGCCUGGGAAGUACGGUCGCAAGACUAA
rnacentral:rRNA from 1 species